AAGGAGCAUCUAGCUGCCGCAAGGCAGCCAGGGCCACAACGUCGGCGAACGUCCGACGGUGGUUGCUCAUGGGUGGAACGUUGAUUAUUCGGCACGGUUCGGUAGGGAUGAGAGCGCUAGUACUGCUUCGGCGUGGAACGCGAAGCUCAUCAACCGAUCGUGUCGGGCACGCUGUUGGGUGUCUGAGGGUACGGCCGUAUGGCUGCCUUCAGUGCCGGCCCCGGUGAAACACCAUGUAGGUGGUGUGUGACGGGUGGUUGGUCGUUG
rnacentral:misc_RNA from 1 species